UACGGAGGGGGCUAGCGUUGUUCGGAAUUACUGGGCGUAAAGCGCACGUAGGCGGCUUUGUAAGUUAGAGGUGAAAGCCCGGGGCUCAACUCCGGAAUUGCCUUUAAGACUGCAUCGCUAGAAGUUGUGGAGAGGUAAGUGGAAAUUCCGAGUGUAGAGGUGAAAUUCGUAGAUAUUCGGAAGAACACCAGUGGCGAAGGCGACUUACUGGACACAUAUUGACGCUGAGGUGCGAAAGCGUGGGGAGCAACAGGG
rnacentral:rRNA from 1 species